AGGAUCGCUAUUAAAAUCCAGCCUCUAAAUUAAAAGAGGAAUAUGGAAUAUGAAGGAAUGGCUUAUUACUUCAAAAGGUGCUUCUCCACGUAGAAAAAAGAACGAUAUUGCAGUUGUGUCGGGUUUCUUCGGUUGGAAGAGGAAGGUGUUGUUGGUGUAAGAGAUGCCAAUUAGGAGUAAAUAGCUCUGAAAAUAUGUGCUGGCUGAACUGUGAUGUAAUGACUAUCGAUUGAUGACAGCUAAUGCCAGCGGGCCAGACAAGUGGCAUGCUGGGCCACCUUCCCCCUAGACAAGACAUGAUGCAAGGUGGAGGCUGGGGAGGAGGAGGACCAAACAAAGAAACGGCAAAGAGGCGCAGGCGACAGGGCUGUUUAUAGGAACAGUGUGAUUACGUAUGUGAUUAGAGGGUGGACUCUCCUUUCAGAAACACAACAUAGGUUCCAAUUAAUAACCAAAACCUCAACAUAAUAUCCAUUGGUCCCCCUUUUAUUUACCCUUGCUUGGUAUUUUAUACUUGAAUUAGAAAUGUGUAAAUAUUUAAAAACCAGUUGCUAUAGAAGCAAAAGUUGUUGCUACUGUGCUGUGUUGCUCAGUUUCACACCAACGGUUCAGUAUAGUGUGAGACAACAAAACAAGAUUCAGUUGAAAUAUUAUGGAAAAGCCAGAUGUAAUAUAACGUUGAUGGAAACUGCGAUUUAAUCUUAACUGAGAUGAACUUAAGAGGGCUUCACUGUAAGUUAAAAACAGCAGAUCACUGCUGAUUGAGACCAAUCAAAAUAAUCAAUGAGCUGAUUAAAACAUGCUUGCGGAACACAGCAGUAUUAUCUGGACACAGAUAUCUCUUUAGUUGCAUACACCUCCUGUUUGCUUUACACUUGUCUCAUGUUUUAUGCCAUGUCGAAAAUCAUGUAUGCUAAUUGCAGCAUGGUGGCGAAACAGCAGAUAAGACAUUUUAUUCACCAGUCUGUAAACUGUGUCCACUUCUUUAGAAAGGAUGUCAAAGUUAACUUAUCAAUAGUGUGACCAUGAAGCAACACACACACAAGUGUGUGAAAGAAGAAGCUGGGGGCGGUUUUGUCAGGUGCUUCUUAAACCAUUAUUCAUUAUUUUGAGUUAUAAAGCUUUGUGAAUAUGUAGCUGCAUUUGGCUUUGCCAAUAAAUACGACCCAUUACGUAAGAAUGUUUACAUAUUUGGACAAGUUACAGAAAAUGGUCUAUAUAUUAUAAUCAACUACACAUGACAAAAUCAUGUAGAAAAAAAAG